rnacentral:rRNA from 1 species
UACGUAGGGAGCAAGCGUUGUCCGGAAUCAUUGGGCGUAAAGAGCGCGUAGGCGGCCCAGUAAGUCCGCUCUGAAAGUCAGGGGCUCAACCCCUGGAUGCGGGUGGAUACUGCUGGGCUAGAGUCCGGAAGAGGUGAGUGGAAUUCCUGGUGUAGCGGUGAAAUGCGCAGAUAUCAGGAAGAACACCUAUGGCGAAGGCAGCUCUCUGGGACGGUACUGACGCUGAGACGCGAAAGCGUGGGGAGCGAACAGG